rnacentral:sRNA from 1 species
UUCGAGACUACGAAUGUCCCCCGUGGAUCC